rnacentral:lncRNA from 1 species
AAAAUUGUUUUAAGCUGAUGUUUUUCAUUCUUUUCGGUGUUUGUGCUGACAUCAUCUGACUCUAUAAUAAACAUUAUUAUUAAGGAAGAUUUACAAAUCAAGAAAGGAAAACACAUCUCCCAUUCUUUUAUAAAUAAAAAAAUAAACUGACUUUUAUGAUAUGUGUUAUUAAGCUCAACUGCUACGGUUUACUUUUACUGUAUGAUUGUGGGAAGAUAUUGAUCCCAGAG